GCUCGAGUGGCGAACGGGUGAGUAACACGUGAGUAACCUGCCCUUGACUUUGGGAUAACUUCAGGAAACUGGGGCUAAUACCGGAUGGGAGCUCCUGCUGCAUGGUGGGGGUUGGAAAGUUUCGGCGGUUGGGGAUGGACUCGCGGCUUAUCAGCUUGUUGGUGGGGUAGUGGCUUACCAAGGCUUUGACGGGUAGCCGGCCUGAGAGGGUGACCGGCCACAUUGGGACUGAGAUACGGCCCAG
rnacentral:rRNA from 1 species